rnacentral:rRNA from 1 species
GAUGAACGCUGGCGGCGUGCCUAAUACAUGCAAGUCGAGCGAACGGACGAGAAGCUUGCUUCUCUGAUGUUAGCGGCGGACGGGUGAGUAACACGUGGAUAACCUACCUAUAAGACUGGGAUAACUUCGGGAAACCGGAGCUAAUACCGGAUAAUAUUUUGAACCGCAUGGUUCAAAAGUGAAAGACGGUCUUGCUGUCACUUAUAGAUGGAUCCGCGCUGCAUUAGCUAGUUGGUAAGGUAACGGCUUACCAAGGCAACGAUGCAUAGCCGACCUGAGAGGGUGUUCGGCCACACUGGAACUGAGACACGGUCCAGACUCCUACGGGAGGCAGCAGUAGGGAAUCUUCCGCAAUGGGCGAAAGCCUGACGGAGCAACGCCGCGUGAGUGAUGAAGGUCUUCGGAUCGUAAAACUCUGUUAUUAGGGAAGACCAUAUGUGUAAGUAACUGUGCACAUCUUGACGGUACCUAAUCAGAAAGCCACGGCUAACUACGUG